rnacentral:lncRNA from 1 species
UUACCGGUGCUGCCAUCUCGCGCAAAGCAGCAGAAACUCAAAGUAUAUGCUAUGGCCUCCGAGACUGUGCGUACGAUUUCGGAGGCUAUGUUCUGCGGUUGUAAUCUGCGCCGAGCCAUGCCGAGCCACCUUUUGGCACCGUGGACGGAACCGCUUGCUGCCACGAUUUGGGCCUUUUCCGUGCCGUAACUGCCACAACCGUGCGAGCAAUAUGGAUAGCAUGGCCGUCCCUGUACCACGUGCUCAAGAUGCUGCUGCACCUGGGAGAAUGCAAGCUGACAUGGCUCAGUUUUGACACACCCAGCUAACUAAAGAGGAGCAACGAGAGACCAGCAGCAGGGCUUUGGUACUGUGUCAGUCGUGCCAAGACGCAAACAAACAAAAACGCUAAAACGCAAAAGCAAACAGUGCCGACAGGUACUGGAGGCAACGGAAUGCCAGCAUCAAAAGCGAGACUGUGAGCAAGUCUCAGAAGGCCACCAAUCACUGGCAAAUAGCAGCCUGCCAUUGGAGCUCUAGUAUAGGGACAGUGUGAUCCAUAAAUUCCACUUAGAGAAGACCAAUAAGCGCAAGCAGCCCCCUGAGACCACCUGCGGGGACGGAAGCGUGCCCUGGCAAAGCAUUCAAGGCACAUCUGGCAACACUUGAACUGUUUGCGACAAAAGGGAGCUGCCUGCACGUUCCAGCCAACAUCUGACUGUGCCUGUCACAAUGGCAAAAUCUGUACAGACGCAGGCCACGAUCCCGACCAAGUGCAGUGUGGACGUUGCAGUUGGCACAUCGGGAAGCGAAGACAGGGACAUGUCCAAGUCGACUCAGACAUCACCUGCUGCUGUGAAGAUGCACAGAAGGACAGAAACCAUACACCUUGGAGAUGUUCAGGACAGUGGCUCUAACAUGGAAGACUCUCGAGGGGUGCCCAAUGUGGAUUGGAGUACUGGAUUUGCCACUUUGGACAGUAAAGUAGAUCGGGUAAGUACUACCCAAGUUGGCGGGGUGAGAUUUCUCGCAGGAGAGUCACCGACUGGUUAUUAAGAGCAUUCCAGAACUAGAGUGAGGUCAUGCUUAGACUUUGGUUGAGUUCUGCAUUUUAUCACAGUUAUGUGUAUUUGAAGUUGCUCGGUGGUCAAAGCCACAUGGUUGUGCAUGUUGGCGAAUGUCGUCACGAUGCUAUGAAGUUCAGGGGCCAUAUUCUUGGCUGGUUACUUUUGGGCUUAGCACUUUCAGUUUAGUGCGACAUGGUGCCUGGCAAGGCGCGUUUCACUGGGACGGUGGAUGUUCUGCCUGCUGGCAAGCCAGUCAGCGUGAAAUCUUGGAAACUGAUAAAUUUAUGAGUUUCCAGAUUUCACAUGUAACCUUGAGUGAACCAAGAUGGCAGCUUAAGUUUCAUUACGCAGCAAAUUUCUGCUAUAUGCAAGCCUUUCGCAGUUUCUGCUGCUAUGUGUUCAAACACACUUGGUACACCCCAGCAGCAGUCACUCAAUGAACACCUGCCCUCUCUUCUGUGGCUUCCUAGUUCAUGUGUGCAAUUCCUUGGCUGAUGUCUGAUUACAACUACUUUCUUAAUAAUUAUUUGGCACCCCUAUCCUAACCCUGCUGACAUACAGUGAAUUGAAUGGGCUUUCAUGGACAAAAAGAAAGUCAAAUCUGUAAUGUGUGAUGAGUAAUAAAAUUUGCUCCCAACAAUUCUUGCAGCUUUUAAGUAGUGGGGGUAAGCUCCCCGGUUUCGGUGGCAGUAGAGUUACUGUAUAUGCUUACCUCUGGUAGCCUAUACAGUAACUCUAGGUGGCAGAGGUAAUUAGCGCCAUCUAUGUAGCGGGCGAACCCGAAAAUCCGUUUCCCUUGCAUGGCCUCGUAGAUCGUCGCGCGCACGCGCGCCGAUCCAGGUGGCCGAGCCCUUCCCCCCGU